CGUGUCGUGAGAUGUUGGGUUAAGUCCGCAACGAGCGCAACCCCUCGCUGCCAGUUGCCAACGGGUAGAGCCGGGCACUCUGGCGGGACUGCCAUCGACAAGAUGGAGGAAGGUGGGGAUGACGUCAAGUCAUCAUGGCCCUUAUGUCCAGGGCGACACACGUGCUACAAUGGCCGGCACAGCGGGAAGCGAGGCAGUGAUGCCAAGCGGAUCCCUUAAAGCCGGUCUCAGUUCGGAUUGAAGUCUGCAACUCGACUUCAUGAAGCUGGAAUCGCUAGUAAUCGCAGAUCAGCCAAGCUGCGGUGAAUACGUUCCCGGGCCUU
rnacentral:rRNA from 1 species